rnacentral:lncRNA from 1 species
GAGACCAAAAGUUUCCCCUUUUUCGCCGAAUCGCCUCUCCUCGGUGAGUUUCCCUCUCUUUUUUAUUAUUAUUUAUACUAUAUGUAUAUAAAUAGAUGAACAAAAAAAAAAGAAAAAGUAAAAUAAAAAAUGGUAAAAUAUGUAAAAACGAAAAGGGUCGGAAAUCACCUUUGAUUUUUUUGUUUCUUAUUUCUGUGAAAAACGUUACAAAAAGAAAAGGAAAAUAGAAUGAAAACCCCCCUCUACAAUGGUUUUUUAAUCGGUUUUGUACCGAAAAUCAUCCCCCCC